rnacentral:rRNA from 1 species
CCUACGGGAGGCAGCAGUGGGGAAUAUUGCACAAUGGGCGGAAGCCUGAUGCAGCAACGCCGCGUGCGGGAUGACGGCCUUCGGGUUGUAAACCGCUUUCAGCAGGGGCGAAGCUUUUGUGACGGUACCUGCAGAAGAAGCACCGGCUAACUACGUGCCAGCAGCCGCGGUGAUACGUAGGGUGCGAGCGUUGUCCGGAUUUAUUGGGCGUAAAGAGCUCGUAGGUGGUUGAUUGCGUCGGAAGUGAAAACUUGGGGCUUAACCCUGAGCGUGCUUUCGAUACGGGUUGACUUGAGGAAGGUAGGGGAGAAUGGAAUUCCUGGUGGAGCGGUGGAAUGCGCAGAUAUCAGGAGGAACACCAGUGGCGAAGGCGGUUCUCUGGACCUUUCCUGACGCUGAGGAGCGAAAGCGUGGGGAGCGAACAGGAUUAGAUACCCUGGUAGUCCACGCUGUAAACGGUGGGUACUAGGUGUGGGGUCCAUUCCACGGAUUCCGUGCCGUAGCUAACGCAUUAAGUACCCCGCCUGGGGAGUACGGCCGCAAGGCUAAAACUCAAAGGAAUUGACGGGGCCCCGCACAAGCGGCGGAGCAUGCGGAUUAAUUCGAUGCAACGCGAAGAACCUUACCUGGGUUUGACAUGGACUGGGAGUGCUCAGAGAUGGGUACGCCUCCUUGUGGGGCUGGUUCACAGGUGGUGCAUGGCUGUCGUCAGCUCGUGUCGUGAGAUGUUGGGUUAAGUCCCGCAACGAGCGCAACCCUCGUUCACUGUUGCCAGCACGUUAUGGUGGGGACUCAGUGGAGACCGCCGGGGUCAACUCGGAGGAAGGUGGGGAUGACGUCAAGUCAUCAUGCCCCUUAUGUCCAGGGCUUCACGCAUGCUACAAUGGCCGGUACAAAGAGUUGCGAGCCUGUGAGGGUGAGCGAAUCUCGGAAAGCCGGUCUCAGUUCGGAUUGGGGUCUGCAACUCGACCCUAUGAAGUCGGAGUCGCUAGUAAUCGCAGAUCAGCAACGCUGCGGUGAAUACGUUCCCGGGGCUUGUACACACCGCCCGUCAAGUCAUGAAAGUCGGUAACACCCGAAGCCGGUGGCCUAACCUGUGUGGGGGAGCCGUCGAAGGUGGGACUGGUAAUUAGGACUAAGUCGUAACAAGGUAGCCGUACCGGAAGGUGCGGCUG